rnacentral:tRNA from 1 species
GAGGGUAUAGCUCAGAGGUAGAGUGUGUGCUUAGCAUGCAUGAGGUUUUGAAUUUAAUCUUCAUUACCAUUA